rnacentral:lncRNA from 10 species
GUGGGGAGUUGUCAGCUUGAAGCUGGCAAGAGUCUUCUACCAGCUGUUCUCACUUCAUACUGAGAUCCAGAGAGUGGCUGGGAUCUCCUGAAAAGAUCUUCCACUUCUCUUUUUGGUUUCCCAUGGAUGUGACCCUCUCCUAGGGAAUGCUAUAACUUUUACAUUAAGAAAAGACCUACAUAUGCAGCAAUGCUGAGUUGUCCCAGGUCCCUGUAGAUGUCUGUCAGCAUUCCAUGCCUGUUCAAAUGAGGGCAUUUGGCCAAUUACUCCAUUUUUACACAAGAUAUAAAGCUAGGAGUGUGAUGUCAGUGAUGUGUACUGAAGAACAGAAGUCGUCAAGACAUUUACAGGUCUAAAAUCAAGAUGUUGGCAUGACUCGUUCCUUCUGGAGGCACGAGAAGAAAAUCCAUUCUUGCCUAUUCCAGCUUUUAGAGGCUGCAUGUGGCCCUUUCAGCCAUCUUCAAAUAAAGCUGCAUAAUCUUUUGUCUCCCCUCUGACUUUCUGCCUCCCUGUCAUAAAGACCUUGUGAUUGUACUCAUGCAUCCAGAAUAAUCACCCUAUCUUAAGAUUCUUAAUGCAAUCACAUCUGCAAAGUCAAUUUUGCCAUGUAAGGUACCAACAUAUUCAUAAAUUCCAGGAAGAAGGUCUUUGGAGGGAGGCCGUUUUUCAGCUUCCCUUGAUCUCUUUUUCAUUUCUGACAUUACUAAAUUGCACCACCUUAUUUUAUUCAUGGUUAGUCUGCCUAAAGAUGCCUACAUUUUAUUGACCUUUUAAAUCAGUUUUUUAU